rnacentral:lncRNA from 1 species
GUGGAGCUGAUAGCAAUAUAUCUGAUUCUGAAUCUGUUUUACGUUUUUCUUUCAACUUGUCUGGAAGUACCAUUCCUCCUUUGCAUGCAGAAGUCUCCGAGAGUAAAUCCACUGUGUUAGAUGAUGCUCAUCCAUCUACUCUAGGGAUCAAAAAGCCUAUUGAGGGAGUUGCUUCAUCAGAAAAGAUAUCUACUCUAGGGAUCAAAAAGCCUAUUGAGGGAGUUGCUUCAUCAGAAAAGAUAAGUACAAAGGCCUUAAAGUUUAGGAACUCACCAUCUUUGGCCUUUGAAAGCUCUAAUCUUGUGGAUAGUGGCCCUAGCAAUGAUUCACAUAAACUGAAGUCCAGAGAAGUUAAACCCUUUUCAUCUAGUGUUUCUAAUGCUCAUCCAUCUUGUAGUACUGGAGGAGAUUCAAUUAGUAUUGAUGCUCCUAAGGCCAGGAGCUCUUCAUCCUUGAGCUCUGAGAGGUCAAACCAUGUUGUUAAUGGCAAAAGUGGUGCCUCACAUCAAUUGAAAUCUAGAGAAGUUGAAUCUUUAUCAUCUGGUGCAUCUGAUCCUCAUUUAUCUUCCAGCACUGAAGGGCAUUCAGUCGCAAGUAUGAGAUCUGGAAAGUCAACAGUUGAUUCUGAUUUGCAUUUAUCUUCUAGCACCAGAGGCCAUCCAGUUCCAAAUGUGAAAUCUGGAAAGGUUGACGGUGUUCACACAGUGGCUGCUAGCUCCUCCCAGAUUGCUAAUCAUUCGCCAAUUGUUAGUAAUGGUCUGAAAACAUCUGUUCGGAAAGUUGUUGACCAAUUCAGACCCUCUAAAUUGUCAAAAUCCCUUCCAUUAGGGGUUGGGAGUGAGAUUGCUGGAAGAUGUAGUGACAAGGUAUUUUACAUGAAUCUUUCAUGUUAGCACACACUUGCAAUACUUUGUUCUGGCAUGUCAAAACUUUGCAUUAAUGUAUCUUUGUUUUUACAGGGUCUCUUUUCUUACGAAGUGUUUGUCAAGCUUUACAUUUGGAACAAGGUUGAGCUGCGCCCAUGUGGCCUCAUGAAUUGUGGGAACAGGUAAUGUGGAGUGGUCCUUGCUUAUGUCAAAAUAAAUAAUAAGUACUAAAUGGUAUAUAAUUCUGAGGGGUUGUGGUAUCCUUGUGAAGUUCAUAAUGAAAUCUUGAUGUGUUCUUCAACUUCUGUUCCGUUUUCUGGAACACUUCUCACAUUUAAUUUAAUGUUACAAGGCUUACUUAUGCAGCAGCCACUUUGUUAAUGAAUUUGGAAAAUUUACCUCAUGUCAAUUGAAAAGGAACCUUUGUGUCCUAUAACUAUGAAUUAGUAUUGCUCAGAUUUACUAGCUUGGUUGUGGUAAUCAAGUGGUUCUUUCUGGAGCUUCAGUGUCGUUAUGAAUUUGUAUGCUCCAAAAAAUAGGUGAUGCCCCAGCAAAAUUCUUUUUUCUCAUUAUUUUCUGAUUUGGUUAUUCAAUAAAGCAUUUGCCUGCAUUACAUUUUACUUUUUUUGGGGAUGACAAUUAUAUUUUUUUCCCCAUUUUGCGCUGAUGCAGUAUAUAUACUUGAAAGAGAGUUGCCUCUCUCUCUCUCCCUCCCUAUAUCUGAAUCUCCCUCACUCAUUCAUUCUCACAUGCACAGACACAUAGUAUUCAUGUUUUAUGUAUGUAUAUAUAUGUGAACAAUUAGAAGACACAAUGUGACUCAUGAUGCUUAUACCCAAACUCUGUGGUAUGAGCAUCCCCAUAUGAUAGAGCACAUGUUUAUAUGUGACCUUAAUUUUGUCGAUAUUGGUAUGGCACAUAUAUGUAUAACAUUUCUUUUUCUGUUAAACAUAUAUGUACACAUUUCUUUUUUAGUUAAAUGUAUCUUUUUUUCCUUAGCAAUAAGCUUCAAGAAUUAUGCUCCAUUGACUCUGUCAAAACGGUCUUCAUUUUCUGCAUCUUUUAACACAUUCCUUACAUUUGUGGAUUUUAAAAUAUCUUCCAUUUAUAAGUCAAUGCAUUUUCUAUUGUCUACCCCUUGAGAAGGGUAUUACCUUGUUUGAUAAAAAAGAGAAAAGAAAAAAAGAAAAAUAGGAAAGAAAAUAAAGGUGUUAUCUUUCCAUCAGAAAUAAAAAACUAUUGUCCUGAAAAUGAAGCUUUUUCCUGAUAUUGGGAUUUUUCCUGCUCUGAAUUUCUUUGUUGUUUCUAACAUAUCCAUUUAUUUAUUCCUCCAGCUGUUACGCUAAUGCUGUGCUCCAGUGCUUGGCAUUUACUCCACCUCUUACUUCUUAUUUUCUUCAAGGACUCCACUCCAAAUCAUGUAUGUUUCUAAUCAUGGUCUCCCUCAUGAUUUAUUUUGUGUUGAAGUUUUCUGCAGUAUGUUUCAUAACACUUUUCCUUUUUUUUUUUUUUUGAAAAAAUGUAAUAUUCUUUUGUUUAUCGCUUUCUAAAUCAGGUUUAAAGAAAGAAUGGUGUUUCACCUGUGAGUUUGAAAGUCUUAUUUUGAAGGCAAAGGAAGGGAAUUCUCCACUUUCUCCUCUUGGUAUACUGUCCCAAAUAAGAAAUAUUGGAAGUCAUCUUGGUAAUGGGAAAGAAGAAGAUGCACAUGAAUUUUUAAGGUGAGUUAACUCUAUACAUAUAUGGAACCCUACUAGACAUGUGUAUGCAUUUCUUUUUGUCUUAAUGAUUUUAUCUUUAUAAGUGUGUAGCAUGAGUCAACUAAUGAUUGAAAUUGACAGGUAUGCUAUUGAUGCAAUGCAAUCUGUUUGUCUUAAGGAAGCUGGGGUGAAUGCUUCAGGCUCUUUGGAAGAGGAAACAUCUCUUAUUGGCCUUACCUUUGGAGGCUACCUUCGUUCAAAGGUAUCUAUAAUCUCCAAGAGGUUCAGAAUUGUGUGAAAAUACAACUGAGCGAUGUUCUUCCUCUCUAUGCCUAGCACUUGAUGUUCUAUGAAUGUGGGUGCAAGUGUUGGUCGUAGUAUGUGUCUAAGUAUCAUUCAUUUGAUUCCCUGAUCCUAGGACCCUGGAACAUGGCUAGAUAAUCUAAUUUUCCUUUCUUCUUAUUCUAUCUCCUAGGCCAAAUUUGAUCUGCAUGCUGAGGUAGAAUGUGCAAUGUGAGUCUGAGGUUACAAUGAAAUAGGAAUUUGUUCUUUUGCUUUAUUGGGCAUACCUGUUGGAUACAUGUCUUAGAAAUUGGCAUGUCAGGCAUACAUUCCAUGUUUGAACCCUUGUCACUUCAUGUCUAACAUGAGUACUUCACAUAUGUUAAAAGCCAUAUAACAUAGUUCGCAUGUUUUUCCUAUAAAAGAAACAUGUUUGAAGUGCUAUCUGCAUCUGAUUUUGUAAGCUUGAAAUGGACUGAAAUGGGAACAACAAAUAGUAAUUCAGUUAUUUGCAGAUAAAAUGCAUGAAGUGCCAUGGUAAAUCUGAGCGGCAUGAGAGAAUGAUGGAUCUUACUGUUGAGAUAGAAGGAGAUAUAGGUACUCUGGAAGAGGCUCUUCAUAAAUUUACUAGCACCGAGAUUCUUGAUGGGGAAAACAAGUACCAAUGUAGCAGGUUGGUUACUUUGCAUUGCUACUUGGAUCUCUCGAGGGCAUGCAUUUUUAUAAUCGUAUGUAUAUAUGUGACCUCAAUGUACUAGUUGAAUUAGGUUAGAGUAUUCUAACUGUCUCUGCAAUGUCUCUGCAAUAAACUGGAUUUAUUUUUUUAUCUCUUUAUCCAAGAAAUUUAACACCUCUUGGGCAAAUAAGCUUAAACAAAACAGAUCUUUUUCCUGCAACAAGCCUGGAAGAAAAUUGGUCUUCCUUCCCAAUGGUGUCUCUGGUUGCUCAUAAAUGACAUGCGUUACAUUAAAUAAUUUUUUUUAUUAACACUUAGGAUAAAAUAAUGGUGCUCGAGCCCUUUGAGAAGAGCAUCUCUCCCUUUGCCUUGAGGUUCAAAUGGUUUGCACAGAUUACUCCAUUAAAAUCAAUCAUCAAAAAGGUAUUAUAUGUGCACUUUUAUGUCCAUGUGGUUCAUGAUUCCCUUUUCUGUUAUGAUUGUGCAUGUUGUUAACUAUUCUUGUGUAUUCCAAUGCAAAAUUUUAAUUUGUGUAGCAAAGUUGUCAUCGCCUGUAAAAAUCACUAUUUUUGACUUGACAUAUAAUCAGAAAGAAUUUAGUAGACCUAAAUGUUUUGUUUUUGUCUUACAUUCUUGAUUUCUUCUCUCUCUCUCCCUAAUUUAUUUAUUAUUAUUAUUAUUUCAUUUUAUUUUAUGGAAUAGUGGUGUCAGGGUUGGGGAGUGGGCAGGGCAUGGGUUUCAGUUGUUAUUGUUGACUAUCUCUCUCUCUCUCUCUCUCUCUCUCUCUCCACUCUCUCUAUCUCUGUGUCUUUAGUUUUUUUUCUUUUCACAUUCUUUUUUGGGAAUGGUGGUGUCAAGGUUGGGGGAGUGGGCAGGGCAUUGGUUUCAGUUUUUGUGGUUGAGGGAAGAGUUGAAGAACUCCUAUGUCAAUUUUUGCUGUUUAUUUGCAUUAUUUCAGCCUAUAGUUUUGGCUUCUGAAAGAAGCAUUGCUCAGCUGUUAGAUUGGUUCCACCUCUGCUGUCUUAAGUUGCCUAAUCUAUGAUCACAUUAUCAAGUUUGCUAUUUUCUUUGGCAUGUUGAAACGUUAUGAUGACACAUUCACUUUGUUAUUGUUAUUGUUUUACUUAGAUGCAAAUCUUAUGAGAAAGCCAAAAAGAAGUUGACAGUAUCAGAGGCUCCUAAUAUCCUUACAAUUGCAUUAAAGCGAUUUCAGGUAAUCCUUUUUGAUUGAGGAAGGCCUUUUUUACUCUUCGUAGGCUUUAUAGAUUCUUAUUGUCUAAGUUCCUUGUGCAUGUUUUGCAGUCGGGUAAAUUUGGAAAGCUCAAUAAGUCGAUAAGAUUUCCAGAGAUCUUGGACUUGGCUCCAUUUAUGAGCGGGACAAGUGAUAAAUCACCUAUAUACAGGCUUUAUGCAGUGGUGGUACACUUGGAUAUCAUGAAUGCUGCAUUUUCUGGUCACUAUGUGUGUUAUGUGAAAAACAUCCAGAACAAAUGGUUCAAGAUUGAUGACAGCACGGUAUGUUCUCAUUUACUAUCAAUCUGUAUUUAUUGAUAUACUUGUUUCAGUUGGACGUUUUUGCCUCCAAAUUCACACUUCCUUCUUCAUUAUGGUUUGGGUUAUCUAUUCUACUUUAUAAAUAGAACCUUUUGCUACAUCUGCCAUGGUGCCAACUAGAGAACUACCCUCUUGUUGUAAAAUGCAUAUUUUAACUCCCUUGAGUAGAAUGUUGGUGUGUAUCUAGGUGUCAGGUUUUGCUUAACCCCUAAAUUUUAUGAUAUUGGGGUAUGUAUCAAUAAACUAAUUUCCAUUUCCUUUUUAUUUUUUCUAUACCCUAGGCCAAAUUGAAGUGUAGAAUUUCUAAUGUGGACAGACCUGUCAAGUAUAUAUCAGAUUAAUAGGCAAUGUGGAAAUAUUUCACAUACCCAAACCCUCGUCAUAUCAUGUACUUCACGCACUUGGAAAUGUUUACUUACAUUGGUUAAUAUUUAUUAAUGAAUAAAAUGUUGAAUUUGAAAUUAAUAUUCCUAUUUGCAAAAAUAUUCUUGUCUUUUCUGCAAACUGCAGUUGGUUGUUUUGUGAUAAAUUCCAGUUUGACAUGUUAUCUUAUUACCUGCUUUACUCAAAAGUUGUGCUCCACAGCAACAUUGAAAUUGUAUUGUCUAAGCUUUUGACUAUGAUUCUGGUCACUAUUGGUUAGGUGAAACCCGUGGAGCUUGAAAGAGUCUUAACAAAAGGGGCAUACAUGCUUCUUUAUGCAAGGUAAUUGGUCUCAAUGUUAAAUUUUAUUUUAUUUUUUGUUCCUCGAUUCCAGCUUUCAUACUGAUAGGGUGUUCAAUUAAUUCAAUUGACCUGUAGGUGCUCACCACGGGCCCCAAGAUUGAUAAGAAAUGCAGUAAUUCCUCGCAAUAGAAAAUUGGAAGCUGCUUCUUCCAGAAACAUUGUUAAGAAUACUACAUUCAAGUUAAGGCACGACUCCAUAGAUUCAACUGCUGGCCAGUCUAUGAUACAUUCAAAGCCCACAGCCUACCACAGUAGAAGCCCUGUGGACUGCCCCGCCAGUUUUGAAUCAUUUUAUUCAGAAGAAACAAGGUUUCCCUGGAAGCAAAGGAUUGUAGAAGCUGACUCAUCAAGUGACAAUUCUUCUCUUUUCACUGAAGAAGGUUCGUGCAGUACAGAGAGCAACCGGGAUUCUACAAGCACGGAAGACCUUUCUGAUUACAUAUUUGGUUAUUCAGGACGUGGUUGGAGCAGCCCUUGGACAAAUUCAUCUGACUCUGACACUUCUUCCUCCUCUUCCUCUUUAAGGAGUUCACCCCUUGCUGAGUUGAACCGCUACUCUUCAUGUUCUACCGAAACAAGUCAUUCUCAAACUGAUAAAGCAAAAUUGGUUAUGGAGGGUGAUGGGUUUUGGGCAAGGCCACCCAACGGGAGUAGCAAGCUAGUGGAUAUGGAGGGUAAGGGAGACAUUCCUUUUUUGCUAUCUGACAUCGCUAAACCGUGUAGAAAGUUAGUUAGUAAUAGUAGUAGUGAUAGUUAUUGUAAGGAGACUGACAAAGAGAAAGUAGGACGGGUUAACCCUUUGGACAGCAUGAAGUUGGGUGUACCUUCUAGGAGAUCAACCCGGGAAAGAACAGAUUAGGCGUUCAUAAUAUUAUAAAAGUUGAGUUUAGAGGGAAGGGUGGAAGGAAAUAAGAGCUGGGGAGGUUGCCAGUAGGGGGUGUAUGUAAUGUACUCUUGCUGUUGGCUUUAUCUAAAGUGAUCAGCCAUGGUCAUUUUGUCAUUAUAUUCUUUUCCUCUAUAUUUAUAAUAGGUAAAUAACUAUGUCAACACCAUUUUAGUGUUUGUUGAUAUGCCGUGUUGGUGCCCUCAAUCCAGAACAGAGAAAGGUUGCUCCGGAAGUGUAGAUAGAAAUUUUGGCAGGGGUUCUAACUUCUACCUCUGCAUCUUUUAAUGCUUGUUGGGUUCUAAAUUAGCAGGCCAUUAUCAAUUAUUGUUUCUUCCGAAGACUAUCAAUGUUGUCCUUUUUUUCCCUUUUGCGAGUCUUAAACAAAUUUGUGGGGUUUUAAAGUAAAGCUAGUAGGUAUUGCCACGGUAGAGAAACUAUGGUGAGCAGUAAUUCAUUGAAUCAAAUGUGUUCAGAUGUUGAUGGGAAUACAUGGGAAAGUAGAGAAGAACCUGGAGCAGGUAAAAAAUGGAAAAUAAAACGAAGGAAGUCUGAAUCCUUUAUGAAAACAAAAGGGGAAACAAAAAAUAAAAGAGGAAUAAGUGGGAUUAGAUAAAGUAAAUUGAUGUUGGUGUAAAUUGGGAUGGCCGAACUGAGUGGAGGCUCGAUUAUUUGUUCCCAAUCUCGUGGUCCAGCCAUCUUGUCUGGUGAAGUGAGGACACAAGGGUAGGAAAUAGUAUUUGUCAAUUCUGCCACUUCAAUUCAGUUAAGCUGGGCUGAGCUGUGAAUAUGACCAAACAAAUCGUAUUCAACGAACUUUCCCUCGUAUCCAAUAAUAUCCCAAUUAGGAUCCGGUGUCCUACCCCACCUAUCCUUGGCCUGUUUAUUUGUUAGACAUAACAUGGAAUGGAAUGGGACAAAGAAUAGGCUUGUUAGAUUGAUGAAGACGCUUGAGAAUGAUGUGGGAUCGAGCAAGGUAAGUAAAACGCAAGCCAUACCGAAUUGAUCAAUAAGCUCACAAAACAAACGGGGCUUUAAAAAUGGGACGGAGAGUUUGGUCAUUUUACUCGACAACCCAAGUGUAUUUAAGGAGAAGUAAAGACUAAGGAACGAAAAUGAGGGAAAGGAAUGGGGGGCGUGCAGCUCUGACCACACAUGGAGGUCAUAAGGCUCAUAACUCAUAAGAAAGUCAAACUGGGAACAGUGGGAAGAAAAAGACAAAAUUGGAAAAAGGAGAGCACGUGGAGAAGUGAGAAGAGGAGCUCUCUAGUCUCUACAAACUAACAAACCCAACCCCAUCUUUCAACUUUUAACAAAGCAGGCUAACACGACAACUAUUCCACUUGCUCAGUUCUCAGUUCUCACCCUCUUUUUCUCUCUCUUCCUUCCAUUUUUGGAUGGAUCGAAUUCAAUUUUACCACCGCAGCUCUGCACCACUGCCACCUCCAUUAUAUAUCUUUUUAACUUUUUACUUUCUGACUUCCAUCAUCAACUCUCACCCCCCCACGCCUCUCUACUUUUCCUCGUUUCUCCCCAUCCCCCACUUGCAUCCAUCGCCCAACCCUGCAUUCUCCCUCUUUGAAUUUCUCAAUCCUGCUUUUACCUUUACCUUUCUUUUGAGAGAAAAGAGAGAGAGAGAGAGAGAGAGAGAGAGAGAGAGAGAGAGAGAGAGAGAGAGAGAGAGAGGGCAUUAUCAUGUAGAAUUGGACUAAUAAAGGCCGCCGCUUGGCAGGCAUAUGUCAUGAAUGAGAAGGUUCCCCAAAAAUUCGUGUGAAACCUGCUUGUUUGAGCAACUGGGAGGAAACCCGUGAACAUAUGAUGAUGACCUUAGACCAUGAUCACAAUAAUAUCAACAUUUAGCCUUCAGAAUUUGAACCAGAAUGCCUUGAUUGUAUUAUAUCGUAUAAUAUCAUGUUAUGGAAUUGGAAUUUUCUAUCGUUUCAAAACUACUUGUAUAUUUAUUUCUGUCUUAAAUUUCAAUUACAGUAGUCAACACUCCAAAGGAAGACAGAAACAACAUAUUUUUUCCACAAUUUUGUGAAGCUGAAGAUGAGAGGAGGUCUGACCCAGAUUAAUUUGGCAGAUGGUAGAUGUAAGAAAAUAAAUCUCAUUGGAUGGGACCAAUCCAUUCAAGUUGAUCUCACAUACAAUGAAUCAUGGAAAAGGAAGCAGAUUGGUAGAGACAAAACUACCGACUGCAAGACAAGAAGCCUUUUUCAUGGGGCACUUCUUUUAUUUUUCACUCUUUUCUCCACCUCACCUAACCUUCUCUCUCAAGAAUCUAAAAUUUUCUUUUUGUGAAAAUGUACAUUAAUUUUCAAUUUUUUUUUUAAUCUUUUAACAUAAAAUAAGAAAAUAACUAUUUUUUUUCUGCCCUAAUAUCAGCUAGACACACAUCUCUAAUGAAAAUAUUUUGCUGAAGAAAUGAUAGAUGGCAUGAACAGUAGCUCUCAGUCAUACCUGUUGACAUCCAAUAAAUUAAAGCAGGUUAAGUACAAAAAUAAGUGAAAAGAAAUGUUGUCCAACUACUGAAAGCAAUUAUGGAAGAAGUAGUGGGGGGAGAUAGCAUUGGUUGAGGAGGGAUAAUGGCAAAUCACAUAGGCAGCUCUUGAGUUUGUAUAAAUAAAGUACAUAUAUCUAUGAUAAGGAGCAUUAAUGUGGAAAAGCAGUUGGUGCAAAAGAGCAAUAUUGGUUUGAGGAAGGAUAUAGAAUAUAAAGAUGAUGCUUUAGAAAACAAAGAGGGAGGGGCAUGGCCGCAUGGCCGACAUGCCAGCAAAGUCAAGCGAUAUAGAGAGAUAUGGAGUCCCUACAAGAUGCACUGGAAUCACGGUUCCAUGCAUCGUCUCAACUGCUGACGCCCAUAAUCACUCUUUCCCACACUUUGCAGGAUGUUGUACCAUAGAGCUCGUGGGUUGAUGGGUCCAUGUUGAAUUUUACACCUGGAGAGAGGUCUCUUCAUAUUCCUAUUGCACACACUGUGGCCGCCAGCCCAUUAAUUUUUGACCUUGCACGUAAAGAAUAAGUUGAAACCGAUCCAUUGGGUUUGGCUAUUCAAGAUGAUGGAUCUGAUCAAAUCAGAUACCAAAUACCAAAUAUUAAUGCUGAUGGGUCACGAUUGUCUCCAUUCUCCACGCAUGCAAUAAACAAUGUCCUAUCAGCUUAGGUUUUCAUGUGAUUCAGCAUUGAAAAGGAGAAGGCAAAAAGAAGUCAGAGAAAUCUACCGCAACUUUUAUGGAAGUAUGCGGGUUUAGGGUAGCAUGCAUAUGCAUAUGCACAUGCAUAUGUCAUGGCAUGGCAUGGCCAGCAAAUUUAAGCAAAAUACAAGGCAAUGUCUCCCCGGGCCUGGAGGCUUUUCCAAGGUGCAAUAAGCACGAGAGAGACCGUGGCGGCACCGCCAGACCCUUUUCCCCUUGGCGGUAUUCAACACAACACCAACAUUACUGCUUCGCACCAUCAUCACCAAUCACUCCUCCUCUUCCUUUUUGUUCCACAACCCUGGGCUUGGCUUUUAGAGCCACCAUUGCAGUCAUAUUUCAUCACCCUGUUCACACCGAAUCAUUCAUCCUUUUACUUCUUUCACUCCCAUCUAUACGACUGUAACCCUGCCAUUUACCUUCUUGGUAUGGAAAAAGUCUUUCCCUCUACCGCCAUAGACCUUUGGGCCGGCUUUGACAAAAACCACCGCUAGCUGUCCCUUUCGUUUUUCCUUCAUAAUUAAUUACGUCUUCAUACUCAAUACAUUUUUUUCCAUGGUUUUGACACAGGAACCAUGUCAAAUCCAAUGGGCAGUAUGUAGUCCACUUGCUUACACCGUAGAUGGUGAAAAGUCAGAAAGUUUGAUUAUUCAAAGUAAAGUAGGAAGACACAUGUAUUAAUUCCUCAAGUCAAGUGUCAUUGUAAUAUUCACUGCUAUACAUUUCAAAAUAUCUCAUUUUCUCAAGAUGUUACUUCCAAAUUGGCUAUGUGGGUACCAAGUCGUGAAUGAUUGUCAAAUAACAAUGCAUGGAUACCUCAAAAGAAAGCACGAAUUGAAGAAGAAAGAAGCCCUACUGGCUAUUAGCAUAUGAUUUUAUUUACAAAAUAUUUGUGUUAGCCUUUUACAUAGCUUACAAGUAGGAACAGAAAGGGAAAGGAGUUUGUGCUCAUAAAUCUUUUUGUGAUCAGUGUGAAUGCGGAGUUGAUGAUGAUGGCAGAAAAAUGAUGGGGAUGUCGAUGGUGAUUACACUUGAAGUGAUAAAUGAUGAUGGUGUUUGACAACGGUGGAGAGGAGCAAGUGCAGUAGGUGAUCAAAGCAGGAAUAAAAGGGAUCAAAAUUAAUUACUAAAGCCUGGAAUUCAACUCCCUACAGUGAGCUGUGAUUUUGAAAAGUCAAAUUUUGAAAAUCCAACGGAAAGUUCUCCAUUCACUGAGAGCAGUGGGAUGUCUUGAAGGUUUUCAAAUGGGAUAAUACCCAAUACCCAAUACCCAAUACCCUCACCAUAUACCUUAGUCAAGGACUGAAGCCCCACUGCAGAAACCCUUGACCCAUGCGCCCUUCACCUGCUUAGGAACUCCUACUAAAGCCACGUGCAUGUCUACCCAUUUUAUUUAUUUUAUAUCUGGGGAUAUGUGUUCAUUGUGUCCCUCACUGUCGUGGCAUGGCUAACCGAUCAAUUAACUAACAAUAAAAUCAUUCAAUUGGGAUUUUUUAAAUGAGCAAAUCUCCUUAUCAUAACUGAAAGAUCCACUAGUCAAACUAAACUGUGUUCAUUUUAUUAAUCGCAGCCUUAUAUAGGGAUCGGUGCUACUGCCCAUCGUAUGUUCUUUGAGUAUACAAAUAUAAAUGACUCAGCCUAUCAAUAUCCAAACAUUAAAAUAGUCAGGCCAAAGAUGUAAGGUUUAUGUAGCUGAUUUAGACUGUAACAUUAUAGAAUUAGAUUAUUCUCACAUGCCCAGUAAAUAAAUGAUCUUACUGAACUUUUCAGAACAAUAAAAUAUGAGAGUAAAAUUUAGUUCCCAGAUGCGAACAAAGGUUGGUAGGACUAGAACUUAGAUAAACACUUAUCAGAGGCGUCUUGUCCACUAACAAGUUGUGGCGAUUGUGGGAUAGACAACGUCAUUCUAAUUCUAUCUAAUAAAGAAGGGACUUAGUCAAUGGAAAAGGAGGACCAAGCCAAUCACUCCAAUGGAUAUGAUGUCGGAAAGAUGAAUUAAAAACAAAGUAAUUUUCAAAGAGGGAAAGUGAUAACAUAACUGGAGUCUAGAGUUUGCUUGCUUGACUAUGUUUCCAAAUAUCCACUACAGAUGAUGCUAAGUUAUUCCAUGCGGGGGCUUAGCAUCCGAAAGGGAACUUAAAAGCCAUCCUCAUGAAAAAAACCAGACUGAGAGCACUUGGAGAAAUAGGGGAAGAGAAGGCUAAUGUUUUGGUUAUUAUCAUGCAUGAUAUCACAAGUGAGGAAGAGAGGAAAGUUAUGAAAUUAAAGGGCAACAAAGGGUCAAAAAAGGGGGCUGUUCUAAUGAAGAAUACGUCCAUGAUGGUGGUGGACGGGGUUGGGCAAGUUGUGUCCGCCUCCUCCAAAUUGGAAAAACUAGGGUGGUUUUGACAAAUCACUUCUGUCCAAACAUGGCUACUUGACAUAUUCCUGCUUGGUCCAAGUUUUGGGUCUCAAUCCGCUAGGACAUUGAUUUAUAGUUGCCAUAAUCUUCCAUUUUGUCGCUUCCAUUAUAUUAUUGAUCUCUAUGACAUAGCAGUCCAAUCUGCACGAAACCCCAAAGAUGGAAGGCUUUGCUGAUUAAUUUGAAAACUGAAAUACCCCCGCUGUCCUGGAAAUCGAAACCCUCCACCAGUGUUCCAAGUGUUCAUCUAGAUGUAUACUGUCAUUAGUUGAAAGGAAAGGUAACUUUUGAGGUAUGAUUGCAAAGUACGACCAUCGUCUAUAUUGCUAAGCACUAAUAGGGCUCUUUGUCAAAUCAAACCCACAUAAUAAAAGGGUAGCAAAUGAGACUUGAGGGUUCUUUGGAAGAUGCUGGGGCAAGCAUGUGGUUAGUUCAUCUCACCUUCCUUGUGAUGAAACUAAGUCAAGUUGGCCAAGGGGUACGACUUACAACCACUCAAGAUCAGACCAAGAGAAUGGGGAAAAAUUCAGAUGAUUAAGUGAACAAUGCGAGACUGUACUGCAAGGAAGUUUCGGCAGAUUGAAACCCACCAUUUUGGUGCCACGACUCUUAUGAGACAAACUUCAGGCUCCUUAUGGAUGUCGAAAAUUUUGAGGAAGUAGGAGAGAAAGAAAAAGGAAACGUUUGGUACCCUCAUUCAAAAUAAUUCAAAUUUUAUACAUUAAAAAUAAAAUUUGGUAUUCAAUGAUCAAAUAUAAUAUCUAUAUUAUUAAAAAUAAUACAUUUGAUUAAAAAUUAGUAUCUUCCAUCCGAAAAAAAAGAGUACAAAAUUCUAAUUAUUUUUAAAUACACAUUAAAUUUAAAUUUUAUGUUCUUUUCACGUGGGCAUGAAGACACUUUUUCUAAAACAAAAGAAAAUCCAAAGUUAUUAAAAAUGGAUUUUUUAAUUAAUUAAUUAAAAAUGAUAAAAUAAUUCUCAUAUUUAUAAAUUUAAUCCCUCUCAUAUUCUUAUUUAAAAAAUAAUUUAAUUUUACUUAAAUAUCCUUAAUUAUCACAAAUAUUUAUAUGAAUGUUUAAAAAAAAAUAAUUACUUUUACAAAAAAAAUUACGAGAUAAAAAAAUGAUUAAAAGUUAAAUUUCCAAAACUUAGGUUUUCAAUACACGUUUUAAUCAAAUAAGCCAUUUUUUUUUCUCUCAUGCAAUUUCCACCUUUUUUGUUUAUGGUUUCCUCACUGUCUUCAUGACUCAAAACGGAGGGUUAAUAUUUCAACCACGACAAAACAGGCUCCAAGAAAGUCAUGAUCACGCGUCCACAGGUCUUGAGGAGUGGAUGAAUGGCGGAAAAUCAAUUCAACUUAGGGGAAGUGGGGAUUUGAUUUCGGCUGUUAUCUUCUCAAGCAUAGAGUCCAAUUUUUCUAUCCCUCUUCAGUAUUUUCAGGGCCUUGACAGGGAGACUGGGUCAAAGGAUCAAUGCUCCAAGAGUAGGGUCCAAGACAGUACCAAUACCAGAUCCUUGUCCUCGUGACAACUGUACUUCCUGGUACGAAAAAUCAUCAAAACUAUCCCAUAUUAUUAGCUAAUUGUCACAAGUUUGGAAUUUUAUAUCGAAAUAUCAAAAACCCAUCCCAGAUUUUCUAUUUCAGCUUUUGUAAAUGGGAAAAUCAUCAAAGCAAUCCAACACCGAACACAACUGUGGUCGUGGGACGGGAUUUCUGCCCCUAAUAAUCUGUACCCACGAAUAAACAUAGAAUCGUUUGCUGCAAUUAAUAUGAGCAUAUUGGAAAUAAGAUACGACCAUAAUGAAAAUAAGGAGGCGCCCAUGCUGAAUAUGCAGCGAGGAUUAGAGUACUCAUUAUGGAAGAUGGAUGGAGUUAGAUCUUGGAUGCUGGUGGGGAAUGGGCAUUAUGGUUCCUUAUUUUCUCUCACCUGAGAGGGAGAGAGAGAGAGAGAGGAGGAGAGAAGAAAGAGACAAACCAAAGUACAGAUAGAUCAGAGAGAAAGAAAGAAGGAUUGAAAAUAAAGUGGGUUUCGAGAGCUUUCAAAGAUAUCGGAUAAAGCAACACGCAGGCCCUCUCUCUCCCAUCUCUCUCUCUCAGCGCAGAGCUGAAAAGAACUGGCAAGCAUAACCCUAGCCACGUUCUCCACUGCAACACUUUAUCCAAAUCAAGAAGCUAAGACGAAAAAUCAAUCGAAUCAGCAUUAUCUUCAGCCAGUGGGGCUGCAACUAUGACAGCAGAGAGCAGAAGAGCUCAGCAAUGCAGCUGAUACGCUCAGUCUCAAACUUCAAAGCAACUCCACCCCAGCUCCAUCCACCAUACCCAUUCCGUGACCUCAAUCCAAUUCUAACUCCCCAUUACUCUCAUCCACAAACAACCCGCCCACAGAAUUACAACGCAUUGGCAAGCCAAGACCCGGAAAAACAAUUCACGAAAAAAGAAAAAGAAAAAAAAGGAAAGGAUUUAAAUUUUUGUUGUCAUGUUAGGUGGUAGAUGCCCAACGGUGGAGACCACAAGUUUAGGUUCUUAACAAAGCAUGAAAAAUCAAAGCAGAUUUGCUAAAAAACCUACACUGUUUGUCUUUCAUUUUCCUUAAAAAAGUGAAUCUAAAACUAACCCAAGAACAUUAAAAUUAAACAAAGUAAUCGAAGGCAGUACAAAGAAGAAGUUUCUAAGAUUCACAGUACUCAAGAAAAAGAAGCUGUAGAAAUAGGCCAAACUCAGUACGGUGGUGGUGGUGGUUGUCUCGCUGUGGGUGCCCAUAUUACAUCUGAUGGUAGGUGGCAGCUGUAAAUGGACAUUUCUGCCGGCGGGUGGCCGCUGUCGCCCGAACCCGUCGGAGGAGACUGGCCAUCGUUGCCUCCGGAGCCUGAAUUGGGCACUUCGUCCUCUCCCGGUAACCGGUGAUAGGAGGGAUUGUUGAAGGACGCAGCAAUGACAUACACCGUCCCAGCGGCCAGCAGGGUUCCGGCUACGGACCCCCCGACGAUCUGGCCCUGCGGACCCGCGAGGGAGAUGGUGAACCCGUUGGCAGAUGACGGAAUCGGAGAGGAGGCCGAUUGGGGGAUAAUGGUAGCAGAGAUUGAGAGAAUAUCAAAACGCCCAUGGAAGGUAACUGUAGCACCUGGGGUGGUGGAGGGCUGCCGGAGGGUGACGUUGGCGACGGUGCCGGAGCCAUUAAGCACACAAAGGCCAAUAUUGCGGCGGCGAGAGAAGCGAGCAAUAGCUUCGACAAUAUCGACGCCGCCAGGGACCUCAAGAACAUAGGGGCUCAUGGCGGGCUCAGUAUCCCGAGUAAUAAUAACAGGGGGUUUGGGCUUGUUCUUGGAACCGGGAGGCCUGCCUCUGGGUCUCCUCACAACUUCAAUGGUAGCCCCGUCACCGUCGCCAGAUUUAGGUUUGGUGGGCGUAGGAGUAGUAGCACCGGCUGCGGCGACGGCGGUGGCACCACCGCUGCUGCGGCUGUCGUCUUCCUCCGAAGUCUGACAUUCUCGGCUGAUUUGGAAGUGAUGUUGGUGGUGGGGCUGCUGCUGCUGUUGGAGGUGGUGGUGGUGGUGAGGAUGGAGAGGCUGUUGGAAAUUGUGGGGUUGGUGAAGCUUGGCGAACAUGUUAUUGCUCUCAUUCUUGCCAUCUACAUAUUCACCUUUCAUCCUUCUCCUUCUGUCUCUAUGAUUGGGAAUCUUUAUAUAUAUAUGUUUGCAAUAAAAAAAACACCAAAUUCAAAGAAAGGGUGAUGGGGAGAGAGAGAGAAAGAGAGCGCGCAGAUGCAGCAGUAGAAGAGAGUUGGAUUUGUUUAUCAGUUUUAUGUAUAAGACGAGAGAGAGAGAGAGAGAGAGAGAAAGAGCCAGAGAGAGAGAGAGAAGAGUGGGAGGGAGGUGGGUGAGCUUGGAAACUAAGUAAAGACCAAGGCGCCGCUGGUUGGAGGCAGAGUAGGCUCCACACAUGCCCAAUGCCUUUUGGUUAGCUCAACCUUUCACCGCCUCAAUCUUUUCUUCAAGUUUGAAAGAGAGGAGAGAGAUAGAGAGAGAGAGAGAGUGAAUGAGCCUCCGACCGAGUGGAUUGACAAUGACUUGUUGAUGUUCCUCUUUUGGGUCAUGGGGGAUGGGUUUGUGUGCAUUUCCCAUCUCUCUCUCUCUCUCUCUCUCACUUCCCCUUUCCUUCUCUUCUCUCUCUCUCCAGUACUGUUUCCCUUGUUGGUCUUAGCCUCUUCUGUCUCUAAUAAAAUUUCAAAAUUCCACAGCUCACUUCCUUUGACGAGAAGAUUUUCUCAUUUUCAUGUGCCAAUUUUUGGAGUUUCUGGUUCAAACUUCAUCGUCCAGCACUUCGUCCCAAGCUUACACCCUUUCAUUUCUUCUUACGUUACGCACAACGUGUGGAUUAUUUCGUGAUCAUCAUAAAAGCCUUGCCACGCCAUCAGGUCAAUUUUACACCCUUUUCUUAUCUUCUUAUCCACCCGCUCAAUUUGCGAGACCUCCAUGCUCAUUCCUGGACUUGAGCCCAUCCAAUCCUCAUUCCCCACUCCCCACUCCUCUCUCUUUCCUCUCCUUUCCUUUCCAGGCAAGGGGGUGGAAAGGAUACGGUAAGUGACAUGCAAGCGUGGGCUCCAUCCCGUAUUUGUAUUCAAAGGAAUCAUCAUCAUUCGACCUUGGUUUUUCACGAACCUCAUUAUUCAUUUUACCACCAAUUAUAUAUAUAUAUAUACAUAUUUGGCAAAUUGGGAAUCUUUAAUCUUCACAUAACUCAAAUAUUCAAACCCACACAUACAAAUCAUUGACAUCUCAGCAAGAUAUCAAUUUGAUUUCAAUUUCCAACAUCAUUCUAAUAAACAAAUGCAACAACAAACCCAUCCUUUUCCUUUGGUUCUAACAAUUGAAUUCUCCUUCAACUGAGUAACCCCCAAAACACAGAGAAGAUAGCACCCAGUGGGAAUGAGGAUUGGCAUACAUUCAUUUUAUCUCUUUCUAUAAAUGCAUAUAAAUGCAGGAGAAUGGGGGUGUAUUCAUGGACAAAGGAUUGCCAAAGGAGUUGAAACAGACUCAUCACAACAAUAAUGGAGUCGGUCCCCAGCUGCAAUAUGCAAACAAGACAAAAUAUUAGUAGCUUGUUUAAGACAUAUGUAUGUAUAUACACACGCACACGCAUAGGCCAUGGUUGGGCUCAUUGUAAAUCAUCAGCGAUUUGUUUUAUUUGGAGAAAGUAAACCAUAGAUAACUAACUACCUUCAAAAUUUCUGGAUUCAGGACAUGACAAUCAUUUGAUUUACCUUCUUAAGAAUUUCAUUUUCUACCAUUCAAACAUACCGAUUUGGGAAUAUCACAUUGCCUAAUGCAACUGCAAUUUACAACUAACCCCCUCUAAGCAGAAUAAAGCCCUAAAAAAUUAUAAAAAUUAUCUGUGUUUAUAUAAGAGGGAUGCCAAAAGUUACCUUAGCUUCCAACAAGGUCUUUUCCACACUGUUAAAAUUUUCGACAGAUCCUCAAGGGGAAUCGGUAGCCUACCCACCACCCAGAGGGUGGCUUUACUCCUCUCACCAAAAAAGCAAAGCAAAAGUAAAGCAAAAUGGGCCUGAGCCCUGAGGUGACGCCCUUUGAUUCGUUAUGGUUAAAGGGUUGGAAAGCCCUUUGGGAUUUUAAUAGUAACCCAGAUGCCAAAAUAACUUUGCUUCUUUUAUUUCCAAAACUAGAAAUAUUGUCCUUUCUAUGUGACUCAUCCAUCGACCCUGUUUUUUCAGUUGUUGCACUUAUGCUUUACAUCGGCUGUGCCUCACUAAUGUUACACAAGGAUCCUUUCAAAAUUCCAUUGAUUGAAUUUUCAGUACUGUAUGUUGGGAGAAUCACUAUAUAUGUAUACACAACUUGUGGGGAAAUUCAAAGGGAGAAAGCUUUGAAUUAUUUACCUACCAAAGUAGAUCAAGUAGGAUUAAAGCAAGAAUCAUAUUCACUGAGAACAAACACAUAUGCUAAACAUAUUUUAAAAAAAUAAAUAGAUAAAAGAUGCAAAAUUAAAUCAAUCUACAAUGCAUAACAGUGAAAUCUUCCUUAUGCUUGGGAUGGGAUAGGACAAAACUUGCACUCAUUCAGUCAUUUGUCAAAAUUGAAAAGACAAGCAGGAGAGUAUCAGUAUAUGGGUCGUGGUGGCAUCUCCAUGGCAAGAGAUGGGAAUUGGAUUUGGGAUGGUACUGAAGCUAGGAGCUAGCAAAUGUGAUUUUAGGAAGACAAUGGAGACACUGUGGGAACACUCAACAGUUGUAGGAAUAUCUUUCAUGGGGUAUAUUAUAUAGAGGGCGAGAAUGUGUGGAAGAGAAAGGUAACUGUGGACAACAAUUUGGAAAGGAAACUUGGUGAGAUGUGGUUGGGCGUCUAUGGGGAUAAGUCAGUAAGUUAGUUGAACCUCCCAUCAAAUCUCAUAAAAAAAAACUUCAAAUGGAAAAGCAGCAUAAGAUAAACGAUGGAUUUUGUUUUCCCUCCGUAUUUGACAAGGUGGCUGUGAAUAGAAGCCUAGUUAGGUAAACUAAAUCACUUGGAAAGCACAAAAAACACAGUACAAUAAUUAUUAUAAGGCAGAAAACAACAUCUCCUCCUUACAACUGUUGGACAAUGGACAGAAGAUCAAUCACCAUGAUAUUUUUUAUUCAUGCAAAUGCUAUCAGACGCAUCCAUACCCAUCUAGCUUUGACAAUCUCCCGGGUUGAGUGUCUUAGAAAUAAUUUUUGUCGGUAAUACAAAUUUUACAAAUCAUUACUUUGCAAAAGAUGCACACUUUUGUUGACUAAUGACACCAAAAAAAAUGACAGGGGAAAUAAAAAAAGCCCCACCUUUCCCAUUUUACCAGUGUCCAUCUUUGAAUUCUGUAUAUAAUAUGGUUGGUGGAAGACGAGAGUGAACCUUUUCUUUUCUUUUCUUUUCUUUUUUUCCUCUUAAUUUCUGCUUUUACUGAACUCGAGCUAGUUUGAGUAGUAGAGAAAAGUCAACAAUUUUUAGGACUUCUGGUUUUGCUACAUUGAAAGUUCCUUUACCUUUCCCAUGAAUUGUUCACCACGUUUGUCUUUUUGCUUGAAUAGAUUCCUUCAAAUUAGGUGAUUAACCUCGAGUUCCUUUUGUUUUGGUUGGGUAAAAAACAAAAUAGCAUAAUUGAUAUGGUAAACCUCGUCUAUCAUUUGAAAAAAAAGAAUGCAGUGACUUGAUUAUUGGAAUCAGCAUGACUUCAACUUGGCCCCAAGAACGUAUUCUAAUGGGCAGCCGCCCCUGUUCAACUUCCCCCCCGUAUUACGUUGUUACCACAUGGCCAUCAAGGUUUCAAAAGAUAAAACUCAUUUGAAUGAAUCAUUAUCAUUUGAUG